rnacentral:tRNA from 6 species
GACUUCUUGGCGUAGUUGGUUAUCGCGUCUGCCUAACACGCAGAAGGUCGCCAGUUCGAACCUGGCAGAAGUCA